rnacentral:lncRNA from 1 species
GAUUCUUUAACAGAUAAUCUUAGCACUAUUAUUAUAGAUUUCUUGAGAUUUCUUGAAUCAACAAGGUCUACCAUUUAACCAUCUUCAUCUGGUACAGUUGUUCUAACUCUAACUGCAACAAGUGGUAAGUUUAAAAACUAUUACUGUGUAAUAUGUGUAUGCAUUUCUCAACAAUUGCAAUAUUUAUUUUCUAUUAAAACUUUUUAAACUGAGGAACAUCCUCAUCUGAUACAAUGGAACAUCCUCAUCAAUUGCAUUAUUUGUUAUUUGUUUUUUAUUAACUUUUUUACCUUAGUUUUAUCGUCUUCUGCAUCAAG